rnacentral:ncRNA from 1 species
UAACGAGAUAGUUAAUGAUCAUAGUCGGUAUAUUCUUCAGUUGUAAUCAGUGCACUUCUUAAAUCUCUCUUUUCAUAAUUAAUGGAAUGCGUUUAAUUAAAACAAAGCAUUGCGAUGGUCUUGUGGAUGUUGACGUAAUGUGAUUUCUGUCCAAUGCUCUGAAUGUCAAAGUGAAGAAAUUCAAUCAAGCGCGGAUAAACGGCGAGAGUAACUAUGACUCUCUUAAGGUAGCCAAAUGCCUCGUCAUCUAAUUAGUGACGUGCAUGAAUGGAUUAAUGAGAUUCCCACUGUCCCUGUCUACUAUCUAUCGAAACCACAACUAAGGGAACGAGCUUGG